AGCGAACGCUGGCGGCAGGCCUAACACAUGCAAGUCGAACGAACCUUUCGGGGUUAGUGGCGGACGGGUGAGUAACACCUAGGAACGUGCCAUUAGGUUAGGAAUAACUCAGGGAGACUUGUGCUAAUACCGAAUGUGCCCUUUGGGGGCAAGAUUGAUCGCGCUUGGAGGGGGCGGCGUGUGGUUAGCUGGUUGGUUGAGGUAAGGUAUCACCAAGGCAACGAUCUGUGGCUGGUUUGAGAGGACGACCAGGCACCUUGGGACUGAGACACGGCCAAAACUUCUCGGGGAGGAAGCAGUGGGGACUCUUGCGCAAUGGGCGAAAGCCUGACGCAGCCAUGCCGCGUAAAUGAGGAAGGUCUUAGGAUUGUAAAAUUCUUUCACCGGGGACGAUAAUGACGGUACCCGGAGAAGAAGCCCCGGCUAACUUCGUG
rnacentral:rRNA from 1 species